rnacentral:rRNA from 1 species
UACGGAGGGGGCAAGCGUUGUCCGGAUUUACUGGGCGUAAAGAGCGCGUAGGCGGAAGCUUAAGUGUGGCCUGAAAGCCCCCGGCUCAACCGGGGAAGGUGGCUGCAAACUGGGUUUCUUGAGGGCGAUAGGGGAGAGCGGAAUUCCUGGUGUAGCGGUGAAAUGCGUAGAGAUCAGGAGGAACACCGAUGGCGAAGGCAGCUCUCUGGGUCGGCCCUGACGCUGAGGCGCGAAAGCGUGGGGAGCGAACGGG